UACGGAGGGUGCAAACGUUGCUCGGAAUCAUUGGGCGUAAAGCGCGUGUAGGCGGUCGAUCAAGUCGGAUGUGAAAGCCCUGGGCUCAACCCAGGAAGUGCACCCGAUACUGGUCGACUAGAGUACAAGAGAGGAUAGCGGAAUUCCCGGUGUAGAGGUGAAAUUCGUAGAUAUCGGGAGGAACACCAGUGGCGAAGGCGGCUAUCUGGAUUGAUACUGACGCUGAGACGCGAAAGCGUGGGGAGCAAACAGG
rnacentral:misc_RNA from 1 species